UCUCUCUCUCUCUCUCCCUCCCGCCUCCGCUGCAUCUGUGCAGGCUUUCGUUGAAUCGCAGGCCUGUGUAGAAUUUGCAUACCUUUGCUAGGAAAUUGAAUUCCCUCUCCUCCCGCAAAACUCUCCCCGGGAUUAAACCGUCACCGUGUGAUUUACUGUAACCUCGCUGCAGAGCAGAGCCAUCGCCGGAGUCAUGAUUGAUGCGGCGGCGGGAGCUUCUCGCUGCAGCAUUUCCACACUGUCAGAUAUUUCAUUUUUGCUCCCUGCACAAUUACCACAGCUCUGAGCAUCAUGAGCAAAGACGGCCGGCCUGACUGGGGGAAGGAACGAGUCGGAAAAUACUCACAGAGCUGAACAAGGGGGAUGAGAUCAAUGGAUUAAAAACAGGAAGAUGGAAAAAAGAAGGAGGAGCCGAAGCUGGACAAGCUCAUUAAAGGGAGGGCAGCGGUGUGACAAAUGAUGCGCAGAGCUGGUAGCAUUGAUCUCCUUCCUCACAAGGCAAAGGCGGGGUGUCUGGGAAAGGAGAUGCAUUGUGUGUACGUGCGUGUGUAUGCGUGUGUGUGUGUACUCGCAGGGCAGAGAAAUACUCAGGUGCCACAGCUCUAAUGGAGAGGCCAGCGCCGCCGUCCCGUUGACGAAUGGCUUGUCAGUGGAUGGGAGGAGGAAAGAGGGGAAGAGGAGCAAAGCCAAAUGAUUGAAUAGUUGUGCUAAUGUUUGACCUCCUCGGUGCCAGUGCGCGUCCUUCGCCGAGACUAAAGACAAGAGGAGCGAGGAAGACGAGAAGUUCUUAAUUCGGGCGGAGAAACCUCGAGUUUUUCCACGACCAAGCAGUCUUCAGAAAAGGAUGGGAACAGCGGCCAAAAGCAAAACAGUUUGCGAAGAGCUAGCAAUAAUGCCACCCAAAAAACCCCCCAAAAAACCCCCAAUAAAAACAAAAAUGUAGGAGAGAGGAAGAGGAAGAGCUGGAACAAAUGAGCGGGCUUGUUGCGACUCAGGCAGCCUUGCGGGACUAUCAUUACCAUACAUCAGGACAACGAAUGAGGCUUUCAGCAAAGCGGUAAUAAGAAUUUGAUAAAUCAUGAGCCGGGAAUUAACUAGACGUCAAAACAAUGAGAGCGCCCUGAUAGAUGCGGAGAGGACGAUGGCAUCAAUUAGUCAGGGCGGAGGAGACGAGGGAGGGAAGGAGGGGAGUCGAUACAGGAACAGGUGAGGCGGGGUUACGGAAACGGCCAGCAGGGGAGCAGCGGAAGAUAGAGGACAGGCUAGGAGUAGAAGAAGAAAGAAACGGGUUGGAAGUUGAGAAAAGGCGAAUUAAAAUGGUCUACAUGUGUAAAGUCAACAGGCUCCUUGUUUCUAUCUCUUCUUUAAAUAAAUGGUACCGACAGCAGAAAACCAUAAUGGCUCCAGUAUUGAGUUUACGUAUAAAAUCAGUAUGGGCGUCAAUUAGGGACUUUGAGGGAAACCGAAUUUUCCGGAUCCGUCAAAUGAUCCGCUUUUUAAAAAUGUACGUUUCUCUAAGAACAUUUUAUUUGUAAUCUAGUUUUAUCUGAAUUUUAUUCUUUCUUUUCUUUUUCGGUUGGUGAAGUUCACAAUAACAACAAAAAAAAGUUUAAUCAUAUGCAGCAUGUUCUUACAGGGGGAAAAAAAUCUUUAUAUAUUUGAAUACAAUUUGAAAAUGUUUCAUCCCGCAAUAGAGAUAUGCUUUAUAUCUCUAUUGCAUUGCUUAGUGAAGUUGCCCCUGGCUGCUUUUCUAACUUGCUGCGGCACCUUGCUGUACUGCAGUCCUGAUGCUAGCAUUUUUGCUAACCGGAAAUGUAAAUUCAGUUUUACUUGUUCUGUUUAUUUCUAUCCUCUCCAACAGUGCAACGGGUAAGAAUGUUUAUGCCUCCGUCUCGGCUGGAAAUGACGUUUUUGACUUAUUAGUUGUUGUAAUUGAUGUUUCUGUACAGGAAUGUAUGUUUGCUACACCACUGCUAGCUUGACUUAAAAUGCUACACAGUCUGGAAAAGUAUGAUUAAACAAAGUGUAUGGAAAAAUA